UACGAAGGGGGCUAGCGUUGUUCGGAAUCACUGGGCGUAAAGGGCGCGUAGGCGGCUUUGUAAGUCGGGGGUGAAAGCCUGUGGCUCAACCACAGAAUUGCCUUCGAUACUGCAUGGCUUGAGACCGGAAGAGGUAAGUGGAACUGCGAGUGUAGAGGUGAAAUUCGUAGAUAUUCGCAAGAACACCUAUAGCGAAGGCAGCUUACUAGGCUGUAACUGACGCUGAGGCACGAAAGUGUGGGGAUCAAACAGG
rnacentral:rRNA from 1 species